rnacentral:lncRNA from 12 species
GAGGGCUCCACUCUAUUUAGUUUUAUCCUGCCAAACAUGUUGGGUAGAUGAAUGUCGUACCUAAAAUACCGGCGUGGAUUUUCCGCUUGACUUUUUACUACCGCGUAUAAAUAGUAGAAAUCGUAUUGCUAGGAUGUGGUGGACAGGAAACGGCGCGAGGACUCUGCAGGCCUGGGUCCGAUCUGACUACAGUGCUCUCGUCCGUCAACCUCUGUCAGUCUCAGUGUUGCCCUCUCGCAGAUGCAGAUCUGAGUCCGCAGCCGCCGUGGCAGGAGCCCACGUGUCCUGGAGCCCACGCCCCGCGCGUCGGGUGCAAGCGGCCCCACUGCUCACGCGGCUUGCCCUGGACAUCUCCUCAGCCAGGGAAUCUUCGGGAGGCUGUGUCCUCGGGACCCUGUCCUCCUCUGUGACCACUGGUCGCCAACAAGAGGAGCCUAACAACAUGCAGGUGAGUGAUAUUUUAGCAAAUUACCUAACUCCUAGA